GCCAGACUCCUACGGGAGGCAGCAGUGGGGAAUAUUGCACAAUGGGGGAAACCCUGAUGCAGCGACGCCGCGUGAGCGAAGAAGUAUUUCGGUAUGUAAAGCUCUCUCAGCAGGGAAGAAAAAAAUGACGGUACCUGAGUAAGAAGCACCGGCUAAAUACGUGCCAGCAGCCGCGGUAAUACGUAUGGUGCAAGCGUUAUCCGGAUUUACUGGGUGUAAAGGGAGCGUAGGCGGCGCGUUAAGUCUGAUGUGAAAACCCGAGGCUCAACCACGGGAGUGCAUUGGAAACUGGCGGGCUGGAGUGCCGGAGAGGUAAGCGGAAUUCCUAGUGUAGCGGUGAAAUGCGUAGAUAUUAGGAGGAACACCAGUGGCGAAGGCGGCUUACUGGACGGCAACUGACGCUGAGGCUCGAAAGCGUGGGGAGCAAACAGGAUUAGAUACCCCGGUA
rnacentral:rRNA from 1 species